GUCCCAGUGGCCUAAUGGAUGAGGCAGUGGCUUGGCCUAAGCCAGGGAUUGUGGGUUCAAGUCCCAUCUGGGUUG